rnacentral:rRNA from 1 species
GUUCAAUUGCUUGGUGCCUUUUGAUUCGUCGAUCAUUGAGAAGUUUUCACUCGGAGCAAGAAAGGUAUGUGACGCAGUCAUCCCUUUGACAUGGCCACUGAGGAAGCUUAAAUUAUGCAAAACUACUGCUCUUGUGAUGUUGUUUUUCUCUGCCUAGUAUUGAAAGUGGUCUUAUUUUAGUAUAUGAGAAAACUGAUGCUCUUAAUUAUGUACGUAGAUGUUACAAUAGAAAUGGUAUUAUCUUUGUAUUCACUCCUGAGCUUCCUAGGCUCCUAGCUAUUGGUUCUUUGCAGCCAUAAUAGAGAUGGUAUUAUUAUUGCUUUAUUUAUAAUUAUUAUCAUUGUAUUAAUUUUGUUUUCAUUAGGUAUAAUAGUGAUGGAUUGUAGGAGAAAUAAAAUUAUUAAGAUUAUCUCGCAAGAACAAGAAGAAGACGAUGAACUAUUUUUCCUUUUGGUUCCCGCUUUAUAUGUUUCCCUUUAUGAGGAAAAGCAUCCAGUUCACACAUCAUCUUUAUCCGGGGCUGCAAAGGUUAAGGAAAUAUUAGAAGGCCACGAGAGUUGGUCU